GGAGGAUAUAGUUCAGUAGUAGAGUGUGUGCUUAUUAUGCACGAGGUCCUGGGUUCAAUUCCCAGUACCUCCA
rnacentral:tRNA from 1 species